rnacentral:lncRNA from 1 species
AAAAAAAAAGAGAACAAUUUGAAUAUAUAUUGUACAUGUUACAAUACGAUGCUUAUGUCUGAAAAUGUAACCUUUUGGUAUCAGAAUUAGAAGCUUAAUAAUACAUAACAAGUAAAGGUAAGAUUAAAUGCAUAAUCAACAAAGAAAAUAUUUCUGUAUAAGUUCUGAACAUCAAAUAAAAGAGUUGACGUUAACUCCCCAAAUUUCUAUUAAAAUUUAUGGUUUCGGAGAUAAAUCAAUCAUUCGGUAUACUUUAAGGUACCAAAUUAUAUACAUACGAUAUAAAAGAAACAUGGAAGUAUAGGUAUUUUUUUUAUAUAAAAAAAAGGUUUUGAAAACAUCUGUUUUUCUACUUUUUGAAUAUAUAUAUUCCGAUCACAACAUUUACUCGAAUAAUCAAAUUUAUGAUUAUUAUAAACUGAUAGUGAUAAUUAAGGAAAUAAAAUAUACGAAACUAUUCAUGGCUAGUGUGGAUACCAAACUCCAUAGAUCCUCUGAACAGAUUACGCAUCAAUCAAAGUCUGAUGAAAUACACUAAUCCGUAAAAAGCGGGAUUUACAGUUUUGACUGCUAUAAAUGAUUUCAAUUUAGUACUGAUCAAUGAAGUUGAAGUUAUUUAUAAAUUACGCAAAUACCCACAUCUGUAAUAAGCGGGGUUUUUCAAUUUUGAAUUAUCAUUUAUUUUGUUCUUAUCAAUUCAGAUAACGCACCUUUUAAAAACCAUGGAAAUAACCUAAUCCUUAAAUACCGGGGAUUUACAGUUUUGACUACUAUGAGUGUUGCCAAUUUUGAAAUGACCAAUGAAGUUGAAGUUAUUUAUAAAUUAUGUAAAUACCCACUUCUGUAAUUAGCGGGGUUUUUCAAUUUUGAAUUAUCAUUGAUGUUGUCCUUGAUCUUCAACUCAGAUAACGCACCUAUUAAAGACCAUGGAAAUAACCUAAUCUUUAAAUACCGG